rnacentral:rRNA from 1 species
UUUACCAAAAACAUCACCUCUAGCAUAAAAAGUAUUAGAGGCAAUGCCUGCCCAGUGACAUUAGUUCAACGGCCGCGGUAUCCUGACCGUGCAAAGGUAGCAUAAUCACUUGUUCUCUAAAUAAGGACUGGUAUGAAUGGCUUCACGAGGAUUUUACUGUCUCUUACUUCCAAUCAGUGAAACUGACCUUCCCGUGAAGAGGCGGGAAUAGACCAAUAAGACGAGAAGACCCUAUGGAGCUUUAAUUAAUUAACUCACAAGUAACAAUAACAUUCUACAAGAAACUAAACUUAUACUAACUGAGUUAACAAUUUGGGUUGGGGUGACCUCGGAAUAAAAAACAACUUCCAAGAGAUUUCAAUUGAGACAAACAAGUCAAAAUUACCACACAUCCCUAUUGAUCCGUCAAUUAGACGACCAACGAAACAAGUUACCCUAGGGAUAACAGCGCAAUCCUAUUUAAGAGUCCAUAUCGACAAUUAGGGUUUACGACCUCGAUGUUGGAUCAGGACAUCCCAAUGGUGCAGCAGCUAU